AGGAGAACGGACAGAUGGUGAAGCAGAACCUCCUAUCCUGUUUCGAGAGGGGUUCUCGUGGCAGCUUUCGUGAUUCGCCAGAUCGAAGCAUUGCUUCGAAUACAUCACUGUUAUCCAGUGGGUCUCGGCGCCGCUGCAGCGGAGUGAACAAAUCCGGUGCACCAUGCAAAGGCACUUGUGUCAAGGGACAGGAUUUCUGUCAUCACCACUGCUAGUCAUUUCUGCACCACA